rnacentral:rRNA from 1 species
AUUGAGCGCUGGCGGCAGGCUUAACACAUGCAAGUCGAGCGGGGAAAGGUAGCUUGCUACCUGACCUAGCGGCGGACGGGUGAGUAAUGCUUAGGAAUCUGCCUAUUAGUGGGGGACAACAUCUCGAAAGGGAUGCUAAUACCGCAUACGUCCUACGGGAGAAAGCCGGGGACCUUCGGGCCUUGCGCUAAUAGAUGAGCCUAAGUCGGAUUAGCUAGUUGGUGGGGUAAAGGCCUACCAAGGCGACGAUCUGUAGCGGGUCUGAGAGGAUGAUCCGCCACACUGGGACUGAGACACGGCCCAGACUCCUACGGGAGGCAGCAGUGGGGAAUAUUGGACAAUGGGGGGAACCCUGAUCCAGCCAUGCCGCGUGUGUGAAGAAGGCCUUUUGGUUGUAAAGCACUUUAAGCGAGGAGGAGGCUACCGAGAUUAAUACUCUUGGAUAGUGGACGUUACUCGCAGAAUAAGCACCGGCUAACUCUGUG